CAGUCGCCACGGUAAUACGAAGGGGGCUAGCGUUGUUCGGAAUUACUGGGCGUAAAGCGCACGUAGGCGGACUUUUAAGUCAGGGGUGAAAUCCCGGGGCUCAACCUCGGAACUGCCUUUGAUACUGGGAGUCUUGAGUAUGGAAGAGGUUAGUGGAAUUGCGAGUGUAGAGGUGAAAUUCGUAGAUAUUCGCAGGAACACCAGUGGCGAAGGCGGCUAACUGGUCCAUAACUGACGCUGAGGUGCGAAAGCGUGGGGAGCAAACAGGAUUAGAUACCCGAGUAGUCCCUGUCUCUUAUAA
rnacentral:rRNA from 1 species